UACGGAGGGUGCGAGCGUUGUUCGGAAUCACUGGGCGUAAAGCGCGUGUAGGCGGCCCACUAAGUCUGAUGUGAAAGCCCGGGGCUCACCCCCGGAAGUGCAUUGGAAACUGGUGGACUCGAGUCCCGGAGAGGAGAGUGGAAUUCCUGGUGUAGCGGUGAAAUGCGCAGAUAUCAGGAAGAACACCCGUGGCUAAGGCGGCUCUCUAGUACGGUACUGACGCUGAGACGCGAAAGCGUGGGGAGCGAACAGG
rnacentral:rRNA from 1 species